rnacentral:rRNA from 1 species
GAUGAACGCUGGCGGCGUGCCUAAUACAUGCAAGUCGAGCGAACAGAUGAGGAGCUUGCUCCUCUGACGUUAGCGGCGGACGGGUGAGUAACACGUGGAUAACCUACCUAUAAGACUGGGAUAACUUCGGGAAACCGGAGCUAAUACCGGAUAAUAUAUUGAACCGCAUGGUUCAAUAGUGAAAGACGGUUUUGCUGUCACUUAUAGAUGGAUCCGCGCCGCAUUAGCUAGUUGGUAAGGUAACGGCUUACCAAGGCAACGAUGCGUAGCCGACCUGAGAGGGUGAUCGGCCACACUGGAACUGAGACACGGUCCAGACUCCUACGGGAGGCAGCAGUAGGGAAUCUUCCGCAAUGGGCGAAAGCCUGAUGGAGCAACGCCGCGUGAGUGAUGAAGGUCUUCGGAUCGUAAAACUCUGUUAUCAGGGAAGAACAAAUGUGUAAGUAACUAUGCACGUCUUGACGGUACCUAAUCAGAAAGCCACGGCUAACUACGUG